GAUGAACGCUGGCGGCGUGCCUAAUACAUGCAAGUCGAGCGAACACACCCGGACCUUGCCGCUCUGAUGUUAGCGGCGGACGGGUGAGUAACACGUGGAUAACCUCCCUCACAGACUGGGAUACCUUCGGGAAACCGGCGAUAAUACCGGAUAAUAUAUUGAACCGCAUGGUUCAAUAGUGAAAGACGGUUUUGCUGACACUCAUAGAUGGUUCCGCGCCGCAUUAGCUAGUUGGUCAGGUAAAGGCUUACCAAGGCAACGAUGCGUAGCCGACCUCAGGGGGUGGUCGGCCACACUGGAACUGGGACAGGCUCCAUACGCCUACGGGAGGCAGCAGUAGGGAACGUUCCGCAAUGGUCGAAAGCCUUACGGAGCAACGCCGCGUGAGUGAUGAAGGUCUUCGGAUCGUAAAACUCUGCUUUUAGGGAAGAACAAAUGUGUAAGUAACUAAACAGGUCGUGACGGUACCUAAUCAGAAAGCCACGGCUAACUACGUG
rnacentral:rRNA from 1 species